CCAACCAAGCAUUCAAUGAGCUUAUUUGCUUUAGCCUGGAGAGAAAAGUCAUGAUAUGCUGCUGAAUUACAUCAGCGAGGAACCAAAGUGUUACCCUUGGUGGUUAAGGAUUCCUUGGCAGUUCACAAGGGGCCAUUUAACUCAUAAUCGUGGAAGAGGACAAAGAAAUCAUUUCAGCUUGGUAUGAUGAGAGCGAUAAUGAAGAUAUGCAGAAGAGGGGCCCCUCACAUAGACUGUGGGGUUCAAAGAAGACAUCCUAGAUGAGGUAAUGCAGAGCUAAGCUUCCCAGAAGAAGCAAGAAUGCAUCAGGCAGGAUGAGGGUGGUAAUGGUGGAUGGGUAGGGUGGGAUGAAGUGUUUCAAGAAAAACAGCGUCGUGACAUACACAAUUGUUACUUUUCGGAUGACCAGCAGCUGCACCCCACACUGAUUUAUUCUGGGGACUUAAUCUGUCUCCUUACCCAGUGCCCACUGUUGUACUGUCGACAGGAGGGAAUACACAGGUCCCUUUCUCCUAGAGACUUGAGUUAAACACCCUUCCUUACGUGAUCUCAAUAGUACAACGACAGCAAGCUGAGCUAUGCCAUUCAGAUUUCUCUCUCCUUGAACUUCACUUUUGACCCAAGGCUGGAAUGAAGACUUGGAGGUAAUUCACUGCAAUACUGGCAUGCCUAGUGGAUUGUUCCCAUUGGAACACUCCUGCUGUCCAUUCUAUUUCCUCCUUAGUAUCCAUGGUUCCUGCCUCUUCCCAAGCCUCAGCCCCCAUAUCCUUUCAGUACAUCUCCUUUUGUUUCAACUGGUUAAACGAUUCCAUUAUGGGGGAAAAGAGAGAGAGAGAGAGAGAGAAGUAGAUCAGAAAGUGUCUCACAUGACACACAGAGGCAUUUCAACUUUAUGCCUGAGGCAUCAGGAAGGCUUGAUGGUCGAUCAGCAGAGCCUUUGA
rnacentral:lncRNA from 1 species